rnacentral:rRNA from 1 species
AGAACGAACGCUGGCGGCAUGCCUAAUACAUGCAAGUCGAACGAACUCUUCGGAGUUAGUGGCGCACGGGUGCGUAACGCGUGGGAAUCUGCCCCUUGGUUCGGAAUAACAGUUGGAAACGACUGCUAAUACCGGAUGAUGACGAAAGUCCAAAGAUUUAUCGCCAAGGGAUGAGCCCGCGUAGGAUUAGCUAGUUGGUGAGGUAAAGGCUCACCAAGGCAACGAUCCUUAGCUGGUCUGAGAGGAUGAUCAGCCACACUGGGACUGAGACACGGCCCAGACUCCUACGGGAGGCAGCAGUAGGGAAUAUUGGACAAUGGGCGAAAGCCUGAUCCAGCAAUGCCGCGUGAGUGAUGAAGCCGUUAGGGUUGUAAAGCUCUUUACCGAGAUGAUAUGACAGUAGUCGGAAGAA